AAAUAAAUAAAAAUCUGUGUUGAAGUAUUUGUGUUGGGGUUGUUCAUUUUAAAUGCAGUGUGUUUACAAUUACCAGUUCUAGAUUAAACAGCAGAAAUAAUUUUACGGGCUUGCCAGACCCAAGAGCCUUUUCAUUUCACAGGCUAGCAGCCCCUGGCCUUAAAAAAAGAAAUGCUGCUGCUGUUCUCCUAGGUUCUGCUUUUAUAAGCUGGCAUCUCUGCAUUGUUAACGAGCUUAUUUUUAUCAGAGCGAUGUCAUUUUUCACAGUUUUGGUCGCUCAGCUUUCACGGGCAGUUUCUCUUCCCAAGCUCCAGAGGUUCACAGUGAAAACUGCGAACGCUAUCUUCACAAACAGCGACAGACGGGCCAAUCGGGGCAGGGACGUCGCAAACGCGCUCGAGUCAUGCGGAGCCGGCGCCACGGAGGCGCUCGGCUCCCUCCAGUGGACACGCAGCGGUACUGCAGUCGGGAGGCGCUGGAAGAUUAUUUGAUGAAUUCCUUACCGAUGCGGCUAUCUCGUGGAGAGAAAGUGGAACGGUUACGUCAUGUCCUAAACAAUCUGAUUGGAUAAAAGACAAGUCACAUAUUAAAUGACUUCUGAUUGGCGAACGCAGUUAGCGAAUCAAAAGUUAGAAAUGCGUUACCUAAUUUGUAUAGACCCUAUAGCUGUCCAAGGUGCGCACCUGUUUAAAAAUAUACAUUUAUUAUUAAUAAAACAUUUUUUAGUACACGUGUCCACGUCAGUAUUUUAAUAAUAUUAUAUUUUCAUGCUUCUAGUGAAGAAUUGUUUUACUGUCAGUCAUAUUUUAAAACGGGAGGUUUCGAAAUAACCAAAGAAAACAACGAUUCUAAACCGGAACGUGCGUGAAGGAAUCAACUGUAGUUCUCUUUUAUAGCGGUUUAAAAUGUAUCUGAAAGUAUAUACGGGUGUUUGCAAUAAUUUAAUCACAGACGUAGAAAUAUAACCAAGAUUCACGACGACCAUUGUAUUGAUAGAGCAGUUGUUUAAAUAAAAGAGCAGCGUCAGUUUUGGAAAUGUCACAUUUUAUAUUUGUGUCAGUUUUUAGUUAAGUGUAUGGAAAACUACAAGCGGCGUGUAUUUCAGUAUGCUAACGUGACGUUUUUCAGCAGGUUUCAUUUGAUUUUAUGAAGCAGAAUUAGUUAACACUCAAUUCAACCCCUCGACAGCAGUUCUACCAAAUGUCCACACGAGGGCAGCAUUGGAUAGGAAAUGAAAGCUAAAGCCUCGUCUGUCUCCCUGAAGUUCGCUACCAAUUGUAAAGAGCAGAGGACAGCUCAGCCGGAGGCGUGUGUCUGUGUGAAACGACUGUAUUUCAUGUGAUAAGUUUGUGGAAGAAGGACGCCAUGUGAGGAGGCGUUUGCUAUUGUUUUACACAGACUACGAGGGACAGCGCUCGUUAAACCAGGUCUGUGAGGAUGAGAAGGUCUCCACAGUCUGGAGUCUGGUCUCUGACAGGCUCAACAUACCUGUCAAUCAACAGGGACUCCUCUACAAAGGCAAGGCGCUGGCAGAUGAGCACAGACUGUCACAUGACUCCAUCGCUCCCGAUUCCAAGCUGAACUCGUUGUGACGCCCCCAACAGAGAAAGUGUCACCCGAGCAAGAACAGCACUCCGUGUCACCCCUCCUCUCAGACCUCACCCCUCACCCUCGCCUCACCCCUCCUGUCACACCUCACCCCUCGCCACACCCCUCCUCUCACACCUCACCCCUCCUCUCACCCCUCGCCUCAACCCUCCUGUCACCCCUCGCCCCUCCUCUCACCCCUCGCCUAACCCCUCCUCUCAUGCCUCGCCUCACCCCGGGUCAGUGUGGCACAGCCUGCCUGCUCUUCUGAACAAACACUUCAGCCCUGCCGACGCAGUGAGAGUCUGGAGCAGCAACACAAGGAUUACGAGCGGAGGCUGCGCUUAUUGAGCCUGGAUGAUAUGGAGCGGCUGGCGACCUGCAUGCUUCACCCUGAGGCAAUGGGGAGUGCAUGGAGCUGUCCUUCCUGGACUGAGCAAUACUGCUGCUGCCCUCUCCACCUCUCCCCUCUCUCCUCCCCCUCUCCUUACUUUGUUUAAAAGAAUAGAAGCACACCCAGUGAGCAAGGUAUUGAGCAGCCCCACAUCCCGCUUCACAAUACCGCUACAUAUUGACUGACUGUUCGCAUUGUGUGUGUUUGGUAAGACAAACCACAUUUUCUCCUUUCUGCUAUUUUAAAAGGAGCCCAGUUUGGUGCAGGAGGCUUGUGGGUAACAGAGUGUGUUUUUGCUGGGGACUGCAGCCCUUCCAUUACCAUUGCUCGUAGAGGGGAGAUUGUUUUACUUUCAAGCCUUUUUCUUUAAUAAAUCCGGACGUUUGGAAAUACA